rnacentral:rRNA from 2 species
UGNCAGACGGGUGAGUAAUGUAUAGGAAUCUACCUAGUAGUACGGAAUAAUUGUUGGAAACGGCAACUAAUACCGUAUACGCCCUACGGGGGAAAAAUUUAUUGCUAUUAGAUGAGCCUAUAUUAGAUUAGUUAGUUGGUGAGGUAAAGGCUUACCAAGACAAUGAUCUAUAGCUGAUCUGAGAGGAUGAUCAGCCACACUGGAACUGAGAUACGGUCCAGACUCCUACGGGAGGCAGCNNUGGGGAAUAUUGGACAAUGGGCGAAAGCCUGAUCCAGCCAUGCCGCAUGAGUGAAGAAGGCCUUCGGGUUGUAAAGCUCUUUUAGUGAGGAAGAUAAUGACGGUACUCACAGAAGAAGUCCUGGCUAACUCCGUGCCAGCAGCCGCGGUGAUACGGAGAGGGCUAGCGUUAUUCGGAAUCAUUGGGCGUAAAGGGCGCGUAGGCGGGUUAGUAAGUUAAAAGUGAAAUCCCNAGGCUCAACCUUGGAACUGCUUUUAAAACUGCUAGUCUAGAGAUUGAAAGAGGAUAGAGG